CCUACGGGAGGCAGCAGUGGGGAAUAUUGCACAAUGGGGGAAACCCUGAUGUAGCGACGCCGCAUGAGUGAAGAAGUAUUUCGGUAUGUAAAGCUCUGUCAGCAGGGAAGAAAAUGACGGUACCUGACCAAGAAGCCCCGGCUAACUACGUGCCAGCAGCCGCGGUAAUACGUAGGGUGCCAGCGUUAUCCGGAUUUACUGGGUGUAAAGGGAGCGUAGACGGCAGGGCAAGUCUGGAGUGAAAGGCGGGGGCUCAACCCUCGGACUGCUCUGGAAACUGCCAGGCUGGAGUGCAGGAGAGGUAAGUGGAAUUCGUGGUGUAGCGGUGAAAUGCGUAGAUAUUAGGAGGAACACCAGUGGCGAAGGCGGCUUACUGGACUGUAACUGACGUUGAGGCUCGAAAGCGUGGGGAGCAAACAGGAUUAGAUACCCGGGUAGUC
rnacentral:rRNA from 1 species